rnacentral:rRNA from 1 species
GUAAAAAGUAGAAUAAUAGAUUUGAAAUAUUUAUUAUAUAGAUUUAAAGAGAUAAUCAUGGAGUAUAAAUUAUUAAAUAAGAUAAGAUUUAAUAAUAACUAUUAAUAGGAUUAGGUUACUAAUAAAUUAAUAAUAAUUAAUUUAAAAACCUAAAGGUAAACCUUUAUAUUAAUAAUAUAUAUAUUUAUAUUAUUAAUAAUAAUAAGAACUAAGUGAACUGAAACAUCUAAGUAACUUAAGGAAUAUAAAUCAACAGAGAUAUUAUGAGUAUUGGUGAGAGAAAAUAAUAAAGGUCUAAUAAGUAUUAUGUAAGAAGUAUGUAAGAAAAUAGGAUAACAAAUUCUAAGACUAAAUACUAUUAAUAAGUAUAAUAAGUACCGUAAGGGAAAGUAUGAAAAUGAUUAUUUUAUAAGCAAUCAUGGAUAUAAUUUUAAUAUUAAUGAUGUACCUUUUGUAUAAUGGGUCAGCAAGUAAUUAAUAUUAGUAAAACAAUAAAGUUAUAAAUAAAUAGAAAAAGUAUAUAUAUAAAAAAAUAUAUUAAAAUAUUUAAUUAAUAUUAAUUGACCCGAAAGCAAACGAUCUAACUAUGAUAAGAUGGGUAAACGAUCGAACAGGUUGAUGUUGCAAUAUCAUCUGAUUAAUUGUGGUUAGUAGUGAAAGACAAAUCUGGUUUGCAGAUAGCUGGUUUUCUAUGAAAUAUAUGUAAGUAUAGCCUUUAUAAAUAAUAAUUAUUAUAUAAUAUUAAAAUAAUAUUAUAUAAAGAAUGGUACAGCAAUUAAUAUAUAUUAGGGAACUAUAAAAGUUUUAUUAAUAAUAUUAAAUCUCGAAAUGUUUAAUUAUAUAUAAUAAAGAGUCAGAUUAUGUGCGAUAAGGUAAAUAAUCAAAAGGGAAACAGCCCAGAUUAAGAUAUAAAGUUCCUAAUAAAUAAUAAGUGAAAAAAAUAUUAAAAUAUUAUAAUAUAAUCAGUUAAUGGGUUUGACAAUAACCAUUUUUUAAUGAACAUGUAACAAUGCACUGAUUUAUAAAAAUAAAAUAAUAUUUAAAAUCAAAUAUAUAUAUAUAUUUUUGUUAAUAGAUAAUAUACGGAUCUUAAUAAUAAUAAGAAUUAUUUAAUUCCAAAAAUGGAAUAUCAUAUUAAAUUAAUAAAAAAUAUGAAUACUGAAUAUCUAAAUAUUAUUAUUAAUAAUAAAUAAUAAUAAUAAUAUGGUAAUAGAACAUUUAAUGAUAAUAUAUAUUAGUUAUUAAUUAAUAUAUUAAUUAAUUAAAUAGAGAAUGCUGACAUGAGUAACGAAAAAAAGGUAUAAACCUUUUCACCUAAAACAUAAGGUUUAACUAUAAAAGUACGGCCCCUAAUUAAAUAAAUAAGAAUAUAAAUAUAUUUAAGAUGGGAUAAUCUAUAUUAAUAAAAAUAAUCUUAAAAUAUAUAUAUUAUUAUUAUUAAUUUAUUAAUUAAUUAAUUAAUAAUAUAUAUAAUUAUAUUUAUAUAUUAUAUAUAUAUAUAAUAUAAACUAAUAAAGAUCAAGAAAAGUAUUAAUGUAUACCGUAAUGUAGACCGACUCAGGUAUGUAAGUAGAGAAUAUGAAGGUGUAUUAGAGAAUUAAAGGGAAGGAACUCGGCAAAGAUAGCUCAUAAGUUAGUCAAUAAAGAGUAAUAAGAACAAAGUUGUACAACUGUUUACUAAAAACACCGCACUUUGCAGAAACGAUAAGUUUAAGUAUAAGGUGUGAACUCUGCUCCAUGCUUAAUAUAUAAAUUAAAUUAUUUAACGAUAAUUUAAUUAAAUUUAGGUAAAUAGCAGCCUUAUUAUGAGGGUUAUAAUGUAGCGAAAUUCCUUGGCCUAUAAUUGAGGUCCCGCAUGAAUGACGUAAUGAUACAACAACUGUCUCCCCUUUAAACUAAGUGAAAUUGAAAUCGUAGUGAAGAUGCUAUGUACCUUCAGCAAGACGGAAAGACCCUAUGCAGCUUUACUGUAAUUAGAUAGAUCGAAUUAUUGUUUAUUAUAUUCAGCAUAUUAAGUAAUCCUAUAAUUUUAGGUAAUCGUUUAGAUAUUAAUGAGAUACUUAUUAUAAUAUAAUGAUAAUUCUAAUCUUAUAAAUAAUAAUUAAUUAAUUAAUUAAUUAUUAAUACUUAAUAGAUAUAAUUUCUUAAGUAAUAUAUAAUAUAUUAUAUUAUUAUAUGUAUUAUAUAUAUAUAUAUAAGAGACAAUCUCUAAUUGGUAGUUUUGAUGGGGCGUCAUUAUCAGCAAAAGUAUCUGAAUAAGUCCAUAAAUAAAUAUAUAAAAUUAUUGAAUAAGAAUAAUAUAUAUUAUAUAUAUUAAUUAUAAAUUGAAAUAUAUUUAUAUUUUUAAUGAAUAUAUUUUAGUAAUAGAUAAAAAUAUGUACAGUAAAAUUGUAAGGAAAACAAUAAUAACUUUCUAUUUAUUAAUUUAUAAAAAAAGUAUAGAAAGAAUUAGAUUAAUAUAAUGGUAUAACUGUGCGAUAAUUGUAACACAAACGAGUGAAACAAGUACGUAAGUAUGGCAUAAUGAACAAAUAACACUGAUUGUAAAGGUUAUUGAUAACGAAUAAAAGUUACGCUAGGGAUAACAGGGUAAUAUAACGAAAGAGUAGAUAUUGUAAGUUAUGUUUGCCACCUCGAUGUCGACUCAACAUUUCCUCUUGGUUGUAAAAGCUAAGAAGGGUUUGACUGUUCGUCAAUUAAAAUGUUACGUGAGUUGGGUUAAAUACGAUGUGAAUCAGUAUGGUUCCUAUCUGCUGAAGGAAAUAUUAUCAAUUUAAAUCUCAUUAUUAGUACGCAAGGACCAUAAUGAAUCAACCCAUGGUGUAUCUAUUGAUAAUUUAAUAAUAUAUUUAUAAUAAAAAUUUUAUAAUAAAUAUAUUAUCUAUAUUAGUUUAUAUUUUUAUAUAAUUAUCAUAGUAGAUAAGCUAAGUUGAUAAUAAAUAAAUAUUGAAUACAUAUUAAAUAUGAAGUUGUUUUAAUAAGAUAAUUAAUCUGAUAAUUUUAUACUAAAAUUUAAUAAUUAUAGGUUUUAUAUAUUCUUUAUAUAUUAAUAAUAUUUUAUAUAAUAUUAAUAAAAUACUAAUUUAUCAGUUAUCUAUAUAAUAUCUAAUCUAUUAUUCUAUAUACU